rnacentral:rRNA from 1 species
GUCUACAGCCAUGCUCCCCUGAACAAGCCUGAUCCUUCGGAUCUCGGAAGCUAAGCAGGGUCAGGCCUGGUUAGUAUUUGGAUGGGAGACCACCUAGGAAGACCAGGUGCUGUAGGCA